UUGAGAGACGAAAGAAUGCUGCACACCUGCUCUGUUCAGUAGUUGCAAGCUAGUUGUUUUCUGGGCAGUUCAGAUGCCUCACCAAGAUGAAGUUCCCAGUUGAAGACAUGUGGCUGUGCCCUGUGAACUUUGGUACACACUGGAUUCUUGUGAUUGUCAACAUUUCUGCACAGAAAAU